UACGUAGGGGGCUAGCGUUGUCCGGAAUCAUUGGGCGUAAAGGGCGCGUAGGCGGCUUGGCAAGUGGAUGGUGAAAUCCCUCGGCUUAACCGAGGAACUGCCGUCCAAACUGCUUCGCUUGAGACCGGGAGAGGUGAGUGGAAUUCCCAGUGUAGCGGUGAAAUGCGUAGAUAUUGGGAGGAACACCAGUGGCGAAGGCGGCUCACUGGACCGGUACUGACGCUGAUGCGCGAAAGCGUGGGGAGCAAACGGG
rnacentral:rRNA from 1 species